UGGGGAAUAUUGGACAAUGGGCGCAAGCCUGAUCCAGCAAUGCCGCGUGAGUGAUGAAGGCCCUUUAGGGGUUGUAAAAGCUCUUUCGCACGCGACGAUGAUGACGGUAGCGUGAGAAGAAGCCCCGGCUAACUUCGUGCCAGCAGCCGCGGUAAUACGAAGGGGGCUAGCGUUGUUCGGAAUUACUGGGCGUAAAGGGCGCGUAGGCGGCCUGUUUAGUCAGAAGUGAAAGCCCCGGGCUCAACCUGGGAAUAGCUUUUGAUACUGGCAGGCUUGAGUUCCGGAGAGGAUGGUGGAAUUCCCAGUGUAGAGGUGAAAUUCGUAGAUAUUGGGAAGAACACCGGUGGCGAAGGCGGCCAUCUGGACGGACACUGACGCUGAGGCGCGAAAGCGUGGGGGAGCAAACAGGAUUAGAUACCCCUGGUAGUCCACGCCGUAAACGAUGAAUGCUAGACGUCGGGGUGCAUGCACUUCGGUGUCGCCGCUAACGCAUUAAGCAUUCCGCCUGGGGAGUACGG
rnacentral:rRNA from 1 species